GACGUAGGAUGCAAGCGUUGUCCGGAAUUAUUGGGCGUAAAGCGUUCGUAGGUGGCCUGUCAAGUCUGAUGUUAAAGCCCGGAGCUCAACUCCGGUUCAGCAUUGGAUACUGACAAGCUAGAGUGCAGGAGAGGCAAGGGGAAUUCCUAGUGUAGCGGUGAAAUGCGUAGAUAUUAGGAGGAACACCGGUGGCGAAAGCGCCUUGCUGGACUGUAACUGACGCUGAGGGACGAAAGCCAGGGGAGCAAAUGGG
rnacentral:rRNA from 1 species